rnacentral:lncRNA from 1 species
CUGGCUGCCAUGACAUGAACAGCUUUACUCCACCAGGCCCUUCCACCAUGCAGGCUUGGAGCUGGCUGUCUGUGGACCGAACCUACUGAAACUGUGCAUCCAUUUUCCUAUGAAUGUCUUGAGUUUGUCCUUCUUUAUAGGAGGUGAUGGUUUUGCUCCUCCUUGAAGUAUCAGCAGGAGCUCAUGAGGAAGAGAUGGCCAAGGAAGGGCAUUCAGGCAGAGAGAGGCACAUGGUCAAGAUCCUGGUGGAAAAGAAGUGGUGCCUACAAUCCAGAUAAUUUAAGUAAACCCACGUGGCAGAUCCCGAGUUUGGUGAAACCUGUGCCCCACCUACUCCAGCCUGCUCCUGAACAACUGAAGGGAGAAGCUACAAAUCAUAGAAGAGAGCUCCAAACUACUAAUCUAAGUUUGCAACCACACACCAGGCUCUCCUGGUUCUUCCAAUGGGUGAUAUAUGAGUUUCCCGUGGCUGCCAUAAGAAAUUACCACACACUUGAUGACUUAAACCAAUAAAAAUUUAUUCCCUCA